UUGGAGGCACUAAUAUAUGAUUAAUUGCAUAUUGUGUGGAUGAAAUUGAUGCUCAGAGAAUUUUUGGAUAUACACUUUAUAAGGAUGGGAAAAUACCAAGCUUUCUUAUCCCUUGAAGAAAUUUGACUCUGAUAUCUCUGGGAGAAGUUUUCACAAAGACCUUUUCAUUCAGAGAAUGCGAGAGAAUGCUUCAUCUCUUCCAAAUGUCAAAACAAGGAACUGUUACGUCUUUACUUGAAGAAAAUGGGACAAUCAAAGGAGUGCGGAGUGCUCUAUAAAACCAAGAGUGGACAAGUGCUCACAGCAAUGGCUCAUAAUAGUAUAUGUGAUGGUUGUUCUUCAACUUGAGACGUUCUCUUUUCAACCCAAAGGGACUCUUUUUGCUCUCUUCCUUUUCAUUUAGGCAAUGCUUGGUAUCACAAGGAUGAAAUUGUUUUGAGAAUCCCAAUUUUUUACAUGGCUGGCGGGGUUGUGGGUGUUGAUUAGAAAUGAUAUCUCUUAAAUGAAAAAUUAAUUCAUUUAAAGCUCGCUAACUUUCAGUUUCUAUGGUAAUUCAGUUGUGUGCUAUCAAUAUGCUUUUAUGGAAAUAUA